AUGGUUGUUAUUAUUUGGUGUAGAAAUUUGUAUCAUUAAUUAUGUUAACAAAUGAGACCUCAUCUUGAUAACUAGAUAUGUGGAGCUUCCCCUUCACGACCAAGUUCUUAGAGGGGAUAUGGUCAUUUAAGCCAUGGAAGUUUGAGGCAAUAAUAGGUCUGUGA
rnacentral:ncRNA from 1 species